GACGAACGCUGGCGGCGCGCUUAACACAUGCAAGUCGAGCGAGAACCUGGGCUUCGGCCCUGGGGACAGCGGCGAACGGGUGAGUAACACGUGGGUAAUCUGCCCUCGGCAUCGGGAUAGCCCGGGGAAACCCGGAUUAAUACCGGAUAGCCUCCGGAGCCUUCGGGCGCCGGAGAAAAGGUAGCUUCGGCCUCUGGCCGAGGAUGAGCCCGCGGCGGAUUAGCUUGUUGGCGGGGUAACGGCCCACCAAGGCGACGAUCCGUAGCUGGUCUGAGAGGACGAUCAGCCACACUGGGACUGAGACACGGCCCAGACUCCUACGGGAGGCAGCAGUGGGGAAUCUUAGACAAUGGGGGCAACCCUGAUCUAGCCAUGCCGCGUGAGUGAUGAAGGCCUUAGGGUUGUAAAGCUCUUUCAGCUGGGAAGAUAAUGACGGUACCAGCAGAAGAAGCCCCGGCUAACUCCGUGCCAGCCGCCGCCGUAAAAC
rnacentral:rRNA from 1 species